UCUGAAAGUUUGCAACUGGAAAACAACGCGGUUUACUGGUUACCAACUUCUACUGAACUCCAAAUGUUAAGAUGCUCCGCAUGGAUUACCUGCAGCGUUUGGGACUCUGGGCUGAAGACAUCAUGGUUUUUCCCCUGGAUUCCCAGGGCAGGAGUCACCGAGGGGCGCCCAGGUCAGAUUCACCGGGAACGGAAUAAUCCCCUAGUCCCUGAAGGGGAGCCACAAGCCUCUACGGGUCUCGGCCAGUCUGCAGAGGCUGCGUGGAAGGAAAAAUAUUGCCCUAAAAAGAGACCACUUA